GUGUUCACUUCAGCAGCACAUAUACCAAAAUUGGAAUGAUACAGAGAAGAUUAGCAUGGCCCCUGGGCAAGGAUGACACACAAAUUCUUAAAAUUUAUGAAAAUCUU
ensembl:snRNA U6 U6 spliceosomal RNA